GAGCCGGGCCAGGGGGCGGCUGCACAGACUCCGGGAUCCCCAGGCCUGGAGGGGGGUCUGCGCGCGGCCAGCUGGCUCUGCCCCGCGUCCGGUCCCGAGCGGGCCUCCCUCGGGCCAGCCCGAUGUGACCGAGCCCAGCGGAGCCUGAGCAAGGAGCGGGUCCGUCGCGGAGCCGGAGGGCGGGAGGAACAUGACAUCGCGGAGAUGGUUUCACCCAAAUAUCACUGGCGUGGAGGCAGAAAACCUACUGUUGACAAGAGGAGUUGAUGGCAGUUUCUUGGCAAGGCCCAGUAAAAGUAACCCUGGAGACUUCACGCUUUCUGUUAGAAGAAAUGGAGCUGUCACCCACAUCAAGAUACAGAACACUGGUGAUUAUUAUGACCUGUACGGAGGGGAGAAGUUUGCCACCUUGGCUGAGUUGGUCCAGUAUUACAUGGAACACCAUGGGCAAUUAAAAGAGAAGAAUGGAGCUGUUAUUGAGCUUAAAUAUCCUCUGAACUGUGCAGAUCCUACCUCUGAAAGGUGGUUCCAUGGACACCUUUCUGGGAAAGAAGCGGAGAAAUUACUAACUGAAAAAGGAAAGCACGGUAGCUUUCUUGUCCGAGAGAGCCAGAGCCAUCCUGGAGAUUUCGUUCUCUCUGUGCACACCGGUGAUGACAAAGGGGAGAGCAAUGACGGCAAGUCUAAAGUGACCCAUGUCAUGAUUCGCUGUCAGGAACUGAAAUACGAUGUUGGUGGAGGAGAACGGUUUGAUUCUUUGACAGACCUCGUGGAACAUUACAAGAACCCUAUGGUAGAAACAUUGGGCACAGUACUGCAACUCAAACAGCCCCUCAACACAACUCGUAUUAAUGCUGCUGAAACAGAAAGCAGAGUACGAGAACUAAGCAAAUUAGCUGAGACCACAGAUAAAGUCAAACAAGGCUUUUGGGAAGAAUUUGAGACACUACAACAACAGGAGUGUAAACUUCUCUACAGCCGAAAAGAAGGUCAAAGGCAAGAAAAUAAAAACAAAAAUAGAUAUAAAAACAUCCUGCCCUUUGAUCAUACCAGGGUUGUCCUCCAUGACGGCGAUCCCAAUGAGCCUGUUUCGGAUUACAUCAACGCAAAUAUCAUCAUGCCCGAAUUUGAAACCAAGUGCAACAAUUCAAAGCCCCAAAAGAGCUAUAUUGCCACACAAGGCUGCCUGCAAAACACGGUGAAUGACUUUUGGCGGAUGGUCUUCCAAGAGAACUCCCGAGUGAUUGUCAUGACAACAAAAGAAGUGGAGAGAGGAAAGAGUAAAUGUGUCAAAUACUGGCCAGAUGAGUAUUCCCUGAAAGAAUACAGGGUCAUGCACGUUAGGAACGUCAAAGAAAGUGCCGCCCGUGACUAUACGUUAAGAGAACUUAAACUUUCCAAGGUUGGACAAGGGAAUACAGAGAGAACCAUCUGGCAGUACCACUUUCGGACCUGGCCGGACCACGGAGUGCCCAGUGACCCCGGGGUCAUGCUGGACUUCUUGGAGGAGGUCCACCACAAGCAGGAGAGCAUCAUGGAUGCAGGGCCAGUCGUAGUGCACUGCAGUGCUGGAAUUGGCCGGACAGGGACAUUCAUUGUGAUUGAUAUCCUUAUUGACAUCAUCAGAGAGAAAGGUGUUGACUGCGACAUCGACGUUCCCAAAACCAUCCAGAUGGUGCGGUCUCAGAGGUCAGGGAUGGUCCAGACAGAAGCACAGUACCGAUUCAUCUAUAUGGCCGUCCAGCAUUAUAUUGAAACACUACAGCGCAGGAUCGAAGAAGAGCAGAAAAGCAAGAGGAAAGGGCACAAGUAUACAAAUAUUAAGUAUUCUCUAGCGGACCAGACCAGUGGCGAUCAGAGUCCCCUCCCGCCUUGUACCCCAACGCCACCCUGUGCAGAAAUGAGAGAAGAUAAUGCUAGAGUCUAUGAAAACGUGGGCCUGAUGCAGCAGCAGAAAAGUUUCAGAUGAGAAGACCUGCCAAAACUUCAGCACAGAAAUAGAUGUGGACUUUCACCCUCUCCCUAAAAAGAUCAAGAAUGGAUGCAAGAUAAAGUUUAUGUGAAGAAUGAAUUUGGAUUUGGAAGGCUUGCAUUGUGAUUGGCUACCUUUUAAUAAGCAAAAUUUGAAACCAUGUAAAGACCUGUAUUUUCACUCAACAGUACCUGAUUUCCAAUUACUCAUUUCCUCAGAUAAGAAAUCAUCUCUACAAUGUAGACAGUGUUAUAGAUUUUAUAGAAUUUUGUUUUAAAUUGAGGAAACAGUUAAAUUGUGCUCUAUGUUUUGCCAAUUAUGGAUUCAAAUUCUAGGUAUGGGCAGUUUUUUCUUUUUAUAACCUUAACCCAUUUAAUUUGUUUUCUCUUUGUAGGGGAUGAUAGGACACUUGUAAGAAGAAAUGAUUUGGGAAAAUUAAGUAACAACAUCCCAGAGAAGUGAGAACAAUUUCAUUUAGUAUCACUUAUCCAGUAGUGGAUAAUCCAUUUUGACAGCUUCUUUUUUUGGCUAAAUGAUAAUUAAGCCAGGGCCUGAGACUGUCAGAUGCUGUCUACCUUUGCAUUACCAUUAAAGAAUCAUGGGGGAAAAAAUCAUAAAAUUUUUAUGAAUUAGCA